rnacentral:rRNA from 1 species
UACAGGCUUAACACAUGCAAGUCGAGGGGCAGCAUGGUCUUAGCUUGCUAAGACUGAUGGCGACCGGCGCACGGGUGAGUAACACGUAUCCAACCUGCCGUCUACUCUUGGACAGCCUUCUGAAAGGAAGAUUAAUACAAGAUGGCAUCAUGAGUCCGCAUGUUCACAUGAUUAAAGGUAUUCCGGUAGACGAUGGGGAUGCGUUCCAUUAGAUAGUAGGCGGGGUAACGGCCCACCUAGUCUUCGAUGGAUAGGGGUUCUGAGAGGAAGGUCCCCCACAUUGGAACUGAGACACGGUCCAAACUCCUACGGGAGGCAGCAGUGAGGAAUAUUGGUCAAUGGGCGAGAGCCUGAACCAGCCAAGUAGCGUGAAGGAUGACUGCCCUAUGGGUUGUAAACUUCUUUUAUAAAGGAAUAAAGUCGGGUAUGCAUACCCGUUUGCAUGUACUUUAUGAAUAAGGAUCGGCUAACUCCGUGCCAGCAGCCGCGGUAAUACGGAGGAUCCGAGCGUUAUCCGGAUUUAUUGGGUUUAAAGGGAGCGUAGAUGGAUGUUUAAGUCAGUUGUGAAAGUUUGCGGCUCAACCGUAAAAUUGCAGUUGAUACUGGAUAUCUUGAGUGCAGUUGAGGCAGGCGGAAUUCGUGGUGUAGCGGUGAAAUGCUUAGAUAUCACGAAGAACUCCGAUUGCGAAGGCAGCCUGCUAAGCUGCAACUGACAUUGAGGCUCGAAAGUGUGGGUAUCAAACAGGAUUAGAUACCCUGGUAGUCCACACGGUAAACGAUGAAUACUCGCUGUUUGCGAUAUACGGCAAGCGGCCAAGCGAAAGCGUUAAGUAUUCCACCUGGGGAGUACGCCGGCAACGGUGAAACUCAAAGGAAUUGACGGGGGCCCGCACAAGCGGAGGAACAUGUGGUUUAAUUCGAUGAUACGCGAGGAACCUUACCCGGGCUUAAAUUGCAGAUGAAUUACGGUGAAAGCCGUAAGCCGCAAGGCAUCUGUGAAGGUGCUGCAUGGUUGUCGUCAGCUCGUGCCGUGAGGUGUCGGCUUAAGUGCCAUAACGAGCGCAACCCUUGUUGUCAGUUACUAACAGGUUCCGCUGAGGACUCUGACAAGACUGCCAUCGUAAGAUGUGAGGAAGGUGGGGAUGACGUCAAAUCAGCACGGCCCUUACGUCCGGGGCUACACACGUGUUACAAUGGGGGGUACAGAGGGCCGCUACCACGCGAGUGGAUGCCAAUCCCAAAAGCCUCUCUCAGUUCGGACUGGAGUCUGCAACCCGACUCCACGAAGCUGGAUUCGCUAGUAAUCGCGCAUCAGCCACGGCGCGGUGAAUACGUUCCCGGGCCUUGUACACACCGCCCGUCAAGCCAUGGGAGCCGGGGGUACCUGAAGUGCGUAACCGCGAGGAGCGCCCUAGGGUAAAACUGGUGACUGGGGCU